UACGAAGGUGGCAAGCGUUGUUCGGAUUUACUGGGCGUACAGGGAGCGUAGGCGGUUGGGUAAGCCCUCCGUGAAAUCUCCGGGCCUAACCCGGAAAGUGCGGAGGGGACUGCUCGGCUAGAGGAUGGGAGAGGAGCGCGGAAUUCCCGGUGUAGCGGUGAAAUGCGUAGAUAUCUGGAGGAACACCGGUGGCGAAGGCGGCAUCCUGGACCGACACUGACGCUGAGGAGCGAAAGUCAGGGGAGCAAACGGG
rnacentral:rRNA from 1 species